GUCUUUUCGGAGACAUCCGGUAAAAUUGGAACGAUACAGAGAAGAUUAACAUGGCCCCUGCGCAAGGAUGACACACAUAAAUCAAGAAAUGAUCCAAAUUUUA
rnacentral:snRNA from 2 species